AGCAUUGGCAAAGUGUACAAUAUAAUCGGCAGUUUCUUUGGUUCAAUGGACAAUGUAUCAGUCAGCAAAAGAGCUCUGCGGGGGUUGUGUGGCAAGAUCAAUCGAGAACAAGCAGAUAAUGAUGUGAAGAAGACAAUAGAUGUUUUGCAGAGUUAGGAGCAAAAGACUCUGGGUUAUACUACAGAGUACAACAUGAUGGAGAGAGCCGCAUACGGAACUUGUUAUGGUCAACAGGAGCCAACAGAGCACAAUACCACUAUGCUCACAGUUGAUGAAUUCAAGACUGCAAGGAAGCAAUUAACCGGAAGAUAUGGUUUGCAAAAACACAAUUACCUCACCCAAAUACAUGAAACGAGGGAAAAAUGGGCAAAACCAUAUUUUAAUGGAAAGUUCUGUGGAAAGAUGACAAUCACACAACGUAGCGAGAGUGCCAACCAUAUGUUGAAGACUUAUGUUCCAGCUAGGUGCCCCAUGCAUCUAUUUGUUCGCCAGUACAUGAGGCUUCUUUUUGAUAGAGACGCACCAAGAUAGUAGCCCCUGUUAUGAAAAUAAACACACCACUCGAGCUGCAUGCCAGCAAAAUCUACACACGAGCCAUAUUAGAAAAUUUUGUGAAAGUUAUAUAUGAAGCAGGACAAUACAAAGUAGAAGAGGUUACUAAAGGUAAAACAUAUUUUGUUCGACGAUAUCAUCCAAAAAACAUGAAAAAAUGUGCAGGAUUGUAUACAAAGUGGAAGUUGUCGAUGGAAGGGCAAACCUGAUAUGUGAGUGUGGCAAUUUUGAACACACUGGCUUGCUCUGCUGCCAUGGGGUCAAGUUAAGAAAGCAUUCUAUUCUCCUCGUAAAACAACUGUCUCAAAAAGCAUAAUAGAUGUGCAUGUGAUAGGUACUUGAUUUCCUCGGCAUAGACCAAAUACCUGCAAAACAUAUUAUGAAAAGUUGGACAAAGGAUGCAAGAGAUGUACUGCCAGCUCACCUGUCACAUAUUCAGAACGACAACAUUUAUGUAAAUUCAGUAACAUCCAGACAUUUGAAUCUGUACACACACGCACUCGAAGUAGUGAGGUUGGGAGAUGCAAAUCCAGAAGCAUGUGAGUGUGCAAUGGAAAUGUUGAACCAAAAAUGGAUAAACUAUCACCAAUAGCUGCUGUCCGUGAUGGAAUCGGAUUGGAAGACAGACAGAACUCUGCAAACAAAAAAUAAAGGUAGAGAAGCUCUUCCAGCAAUUGUACAAGCCAGCGGCAAUGCAAGUGAUGCAGAAGGAAGUGCAGUUGGGGAUUUUAUAGGAUUAAAAGCUCCAGAGCGAAAAAGAAAGGCCGGACGACCAACCAACAGCAGGGACAAACCUCCAUAUGAUGAUCGAGGUGCAAAAAGCAAGAAAUUCAAGCAACGAGCAACUGCAUAGGAUGUCGGCAAGUGCAGCACAAGCAAACGGAUUCGCUUGUGCAGUAUAUGCCGAGAACCAUGACACAAGAGCCCCACAUAUCCACAGAGAGAUCUUCCCCAGAAGGAGAGGAAAUAGGCAAAAUGCUCAGACUGUGGAAUCGGUGGGCACAGGAGAACUUGCAACAACCUAAAAGUUGUUCUCCAUGUUGAACCGAUUACUCUGGAAACAAAUGUCAUUACCACGAUUGAAUUAAACUUGCAGACUCUCUGUUGUUGAGGCCUCAGCAUGCAGUAUUUAUAUAUCAUCUGUGUAAUAAGACACAGCGUUUGUUGCUGUGUGCUACGUGUUGUGUUUGUUAACGAGAGAACCUGUUCAUCAACAAGUCUCAUCGCUGUUAAACUACAAGUACAAUCUAUGUACGAGCAUAAAUUCCUGAAAGUUCACCAUUUUAUUACCGGAUCCUGCAGUAA